rnacentral:rRNA from 1 species
ACGCUCGACACCUACGUGAGGCAGCAGUGAGGGAUAUUGCACAAUGGGGGGAACCCUGAUGCAGCGACGCCGCGUGAGGGAAGAAGGUUUUCGGAUUGUAAACCUCUGUCCUCAGUGAAGAAGAUGACGGUAACUGAGGAGGAAGCCACGGCUAACUACGUGCCAANGCGCGGUAAGUACUGAGCGGGCGUGCGAAGGACG